rnacentral:tRNA from 1 species
GUUUUAAUAGUUUAAAAAACAUCGGUCUUGUAAACCGAAAUUAAGUCCCCCCUUUUAAAACU